rnacentral:misc_RNA from 1 species
ACGGGCAGAUCAUGUGCGGUGGCAGCUCUUUCGACCUGAUCGAGGUACGAGACGCCGGACGGCUCGUGCUCCCAAUAACCGAAGUC